AUUCUUUGGAAACUCUGGACCCUGGCCUGGCCUCUGGACAGCAAGCCAACAUGACUUGGUGGCCAUGAACUGUAGCAAAUAUAGCCAGUGGUCUGCACUUGACUGCAGAGGUUGGUCCGGAGUAUCUCUUUAGAGCUGUGGUCAUUGCUCCAAGGAAGCGCUUCCUCUGUUACUGGAGAAGAGCAAAAUAACAGCACAGACUGGAAAGGGAUACGCCAUCAAGAUCAAAAGAGGGACCUGCAAGGCAGAGGACUCGAGGUGCCAAUUGUCGUUUGUGCCUGCUUGCAUACAAGGUUCAGAAGAAGUGGCUAAGUAUCGGGGCAGAGUCUGGCAAGUUCUCCACUUCGAUAGAUAUGACAUCAAGGAAAGACCAGAGGAAGGAUCCCACUCCAGUCAGCUUGAUGGACAAAUGGAUUUAUUGUAAAUAUUUAUAGGAAUGUGGUGGCCACACAGAAGGAUUCGGGUGACCCCAAGACUGUCUCUGCAUUGUGGGAAAUUUCCACCCUCAUGUGCGUGAACACUUUGCCGCAGACCCCUUCCUUCAGUUAACAGUCUGUCUUCUAUGUGUUCUGGCAGCCAUGGAAGAUGAGACACCAUCUUGACAGCCUUGCCCACGUGUGACCAGUGCAGCCUGGGACCCCAUGGUUAGAGCGGCCUUGAGACUUGCUUAAUGAGCGGCUGCCAUCACCUGAGAAGUCUUCAUAAAUUUUAAACAGAUGGUGUCCACUUGGCCUGGAAUGGCUUGGACAGAAGGGCUGAGAAGAGCUGCCCCCUAUCAGUUCGUGGCGUUUCUUCAGGAGACCCUGGUGCUGCGCCUGCCUGCUUCCAGUAGAGCAAGGAGGAUCCACUCCCCUGUCCUAGCAAGAGAGUAGUUCUGGUGGCACAAGACAAGUGUGGUUUUCCUUUGGACUGUGAAAUGGGAGAUAAUUCUGCCAGCGGUUUACUUACAACUACUUAAAUAUCGGACCCACAAUUUUUAGUAUAAGUAGGAUUUGGCAUAUUCUUUCCAAAUAUGUCAGUGAUCUUUUCCAAAUCACUAACAAGAUGUCUCAGUACCAUUUACGGAGUAAUAGAUCCAUUCUUUGUUACUUUGAAUUUCUGCCAUGAGGCUCCUUAUAUUGUUGUCUAAAAUUGGAGUAUAUUGUGUUUCAUCGCUCUUUAUGUGCCUGAGUAUUUUUUUUUAAGUACAGCUCGUUGUAUUUCUCCUCUGAAUUGUCAACUUGAUUUUCUGCAGUGAGGAUGCUUGGGACGGUGUCUGGGGACGCGUGUAUCCUGGGCACCACUAAGCUAUGUCCUGCACUGGCACCUUACACCAUUUCAUUUCCAUAGUCCCUGCUCUGCCUUAUCUUUAUGUCUUUGAAAUUCGUGCAACUUUUGGUCCACAUGAAGCGUAUAUGAUAGAGUGAGGAUUACUAUUCUCUCAAGUUUUAUCCCAGUAUUUAGCAAUUUUAUCUUUGUGAACUAGUAAGGAUUAUUUAAAAUUAAAAAAAAUAAUACAUAUG